rnacentral:rRNA from 1 species
CCUACGGGAGGCAGCAGUGGGGAAUAUUGCACAAUGGGCGCAAGCCUGAUGCAGCCAUGCCGCGUGUGUGAAGAAGGCCUUCGGGUUGUAAAGCACUUUCAGCGGGGAGGAAGGCGGUGAGGUUAAUAACCUCAUCGAUUGACGUUACCCGCAGAAGAAGCACCGGCUAACUCCGUGCCAGCAGCCGCGGUAAUACGGAGGGUGCAAGCGUUAAUCGGAAUUACUGGGCGUAAAGCGCACGCAGGCGGUCUGUCAAGUCGGAUGUGAAAUCCCCGGGCUCAACCUGGGAACUGCAUUCGAAACUGGCAGGCUAGAGUCUUGUAGAGGGGGGUAGAAUUCCAGGUGUAGCGGUGAAAUGCGUAGAGAUCUGGAGGAAUACCGGUGGCGAAGGCGGCCCCCUGGACAAAGACUGACGCUCAGGUGCGGAAGCGUGGGGAGCAAACAGGAUUAGAUACCCCUGUAGUC